UGAUGAUGAUGAAGAUGAUGAUGAUGAUGAUGAUGAUGAUGAUGAUGAUGACUGUAUUGGUGUUGCCGGUGAUGUAAAUAAUGAUAAUGGAGUUGAUGUUGCAUCAUAUUCAAAACCAUCGUAACGAUUUCAUCCUCAUCAUCCUCAUCAUCAUAUCAUCAUAAUCAUCAUCAUAU
rnacentral:pre_miRNA from 1 species